AGUUUUCGGCAAUGGGGGGCAUCCUGACCGAGCAACGCCGCGUGAACGAUGAAGGUCUUUGGAUCGUUAAGUUCUGUUGUAGUUAGGGCAAGCCUGGAAGAGUGGAAUGCUUUCUGUUUGAGAUGACCAGCAGUAAGCCACGGCUCACUACGUGCCAGCAGCCGCGGUUAUACGUAGGUGGCAAGCGUUAUCCGGAAUGAUUGGGCGUAAAGAGUGAGCAGGCGGCCGUUUAAGUCUGAAGUCAAAUGCAGUGGCUCAACCACUGUUCGCUUUGGAAACUGGAUGGCUAGAGUACGAGAGAAGUAAGCGGAAUUCCAUGUGUAGCGGUGAAAUGCGUAGAUAUAUGGAGGAACACCAGAGGCGAAGGCGGCUUACUAGAUCGAUACUGACGCUCAGUCACGAAAGCGUGGGUAGCAAAUAGG
rnacentral:rRNA from 1 species